rnacentral:snRNA from 1 species
AUGCUCACUUUGGCAGCACAUAUACUGUGAUUGGAAUGAUACAGAGAAGAUUAGCAUGGAUGACAUGCAAAUUCAUGGAGUGUUCCAUAUUUAA